GAUCCUGGCUCAGGAUGAACGCUAGCGACAGGCUUAACACAUGCAAGUCGAGGGGCAGCACGGGAGUAGCAAUACUUGGUGGCGACCGGCGCACGGGUGAGUAACGCGUAUGCAACCUACCUAUCAGAGGGGAAUAACCCGGCGAAAGUCGGACUAAUACCGCAUAAAACAGGGGCACCGCAUGGUGAUAUUUGUUAAAGAAAUUCGCUGAUAGGUGGGCAUGCGUUCCAUUAGGUAGUUGGUGAGGUAACGGCUCACCAAGCCGACGAUGGAUAGGGAACUGAGAGGUUGGUCCCCCACACUGGUACUGAGACACGGACCAGACUCCUACGGGAGGCAGCAGUGAGGAAUAUUGGUCAAUGGGCGGGAGCCUGAACCAGCCAAGUCGCGUAGGAAGGAAGAAGGAUCUAUGGUUACGUAAACUUCUUUGCAGGGGAAUAAAGUGCAGGACGUGUCCUGUUUUGUAUGUACCCUGAGAAUAAGGAUCGGCUAACUCCGUGCCAGCCGCUGC
rnacentral:rRNA from 1 species